UUCACUUCUAACAAGUGGAAUGUGGCAAGGGAAAUGUAGUGACUUCACAAUGGAGAACCCUGGGAGCUGCCAACUCAACCAGACAAUUAAGGUUAAUGGUAACAGUCAUGUUGACGUCAUUUACCAAGCUCUGUGCUCAGUAGGAUCCCAAACUUGUCUCAAUGCUCUGGUUUUGGGGUCUUGAAAUUCUUCAUAAUUUUCUCUCUGAACUUGUGUUUGGUGAGUGACUUGUUAUGGGAACGUGGAUGGUAUCUGUGAGCAGAGGAAAUAAACACAAUGUGCAUGGCUAUCAUUUCUUGCCAGCUGAUCUACUGAUAGCACUCAGAAUGCCAGAGGAGCACAAGAUCUCAAUGGGUCUAUGGUCCUGAGGUUCAGCAAGUACAAAAGGAGUUUGCUUUGAACAGAGAAAGAAGAUAAUGGUGUUCUGCAAAACACAAAUCACCUUGAAACCCUACGAUAUCCUUUUCUGUUCAAGUUACUUCCUUGUUUCAGGUAACUAUUUAUGCAGAGUAUCACAGAAGAGAGUGACAUGUAGGACAACUAGCAUUCCUUUAUUUUUUUUAAUUAUUUCUUAUUUACCAGUAGGCCAAAGGUAGAGAGUGUUGGUAGAACAUGUCGCACAUUAAGAAAUGCAAUAAAAACAAUGGGAUUUGUUUUGUGCACCAUCAUUGCUGUUUUGGUAAAGAGGAACACAUGCAAGUUCAAACUUCAGAAUACAGAUGUGUGAUAUUGAUGAUUCUGCAGACUAGUUAAAUGUUCUUACAAGUAUACAUGUUCUUAAAACUGUCAUCACAUGAUAUAAAGAUAAAAGAUGAGAUUCACACUAAUAAUUUUAAAUAUUACUUUUUCUUUAUUCAAAAUGACAUUGAAUAACAAAAAAUACCAUGACAAGUUGAGAGAGAAAUUACUGAGAAUAAAAUAAAUGCUUUAUAUCUUAAUAAUUUUAUUUUUCCCUGCUUUUUGAACAAGGACUUCACAUUUUCAUUUUGUACUGGUCCCUGCAAAUUAAGGAGCCAUUCCUUCUUGUACCCUGAUGUUUGUGAUCACCUCUUUGAUAUCCCUCCCAAAAAUGCUUAACUUCCAUGUAGUCAUAUGUAAGCUUCAGUUCAAUCCAAACUGAAGGGCAUUCUCAAAACACAUGAAAAUACUCUUCAAAUUGUCAAGAUCACAGGCAUCAAAGAAAGAGCAAGAAACUGUCUUAUGUUGGAGGAGAUUAAGGAUACAUGACGACCUAACGUAACUAGGUGUCCUGUAUGAGAUUCUAGAACAGAAAAAAAAAUAAUGUUAGAGGGAAAAAUGGUGAAAUCCAAAAAAAGUCUUUGGUUUAGUUAAUAGAAUAAUGAUCAUAUAAAUUUCUUAGUUUUAAUAAAUGAAUCAUGGGCUAUUAAUAUGCAAGAAAACUGAAUGACAGUUUUGCGCGCUCUCUCUCUCUAUAUAUAUGUAUAUAUAUAUAUGUGUAUAUAUACAUACAUACAUAUAUAUAUACAUGCAUACAUUUGUAUGUGUAUGUGUGUGUAUACAUACAUAUAUAUAUAUAUGCAUAGAUAGAUAUCUGUCUAUUGCUUGAAAGUAGCAAAUGUUUUUAACCAUUUAUUCCAAAUCUAUAAGUGUAGAACCCCCCUAUAUAUGCCUGUAUUCAUGUAUUUUUCCUUUGAUCCUCAUAGCAGCACUAUGAUAUACUCUUACAUGUGAGGGGCUUCAAAUCAUUAAUGAAAAUGUGUUUUAUGAAAAAAAUAUAUACAAUUCAAAAAUUCUCCAUCAAACUAAAUUUGUAAUUCUAUUUCCAUGAACUUUUUGCAAUGCUCUCCUACCUGAGCUUCAUUUUAUACUGAGGAAGAAAAAAACCUCAGUAUGUCGAAGUGACCAUCAAGUUAUAAAUCUCUGAAGUACGGCAACCAGGUCUUCAUUCCAGACUAAAACUGAGGCUUGUGGAAGAAAAGUAAAUUGCCCAAAGUCACAGAGCUACUAAUAACUCAAAUGCAUGGUGGUAGCUUUGGGAUCCGCAUGGAAGGAAGGCCUACACUUCCGGGAAUGGAGAAGUCCCUACCUGUACUUCCAGGGAAGAACAGUCCUUGUCAAGGUCCCCGCGGGUACCUAAAGGUCAACCAAUGAGGAUCAGACCCGCCUCAACCUUUAACCCCCAUGCCCUGAAUCUACAAAAGGAGCCCUCCCAAUCUCUGUUGCAUGACUUCCCAGGCCCCUGCUCUGUUGUUCUGUUGGGACCGGUGAACCUUGCCUGGGAGUGAACCCCAAUAAAAGC